rnacentral:lncRNA from 1 species
AGUCUUCCACUAGCAGCCUUUGGAUGAAGACGUAGAAUUCUCAGCUCUGCCUGCACCAUGCCAGCCUGGAUACUGCCAUGCUCCCACCUUGAUGAUAAUGGACUGAACCUCUGAACCUAGUUGCCACCACGUGCACUUUAUUGAAUCCACUGUGGACAGAUAUGUGAAGCUUGGAGGAAGUCCGGCAUUGGUGGGCAAGAAGGCUUGAGAAUUGUGGCUCGUGGUACUGACUCUGGAACAAUCGCCCCGUCUGGAGGAUGGCUGCUGCUAUUGCUUCACUCAUUUUCUAAGUGGAAGAAAUAUAAGGAAAUGAGAGAAGUAAGCAUGCAUUAUGGUUUGGAUAUAAGUGGGCCCCAAAGCUCGUAUGUUGAAAGCUUGAUGGCCAGCUAGUGGUGUUUUUGAGAGGUGAUUUGCUCAUGAAGAUUGCAACACCAUUGAUGAAUUCAUAGUUAAAUGGGCUAUUGGGAGAUUGGGGUUUAGCAGAAAGACACUGGUGGUGUCCUUUUGCUUCAGACUCUGUGACAGGGUCAAGGGACUAUGGACUAAAACAUUUCUUCUUUUGGAUUGCUUUUCUCAUAUAUUUUGACAUGGGGUAAAGCCGGUGCAGAAGUACAGGUGGAUUGUGACUUUUGCCUCAUCUUCUCUCUGUUGAAGUAUAUUGUGCAUCAGACACAGGCUCUCACAUAUGCUAGCUCUUACUUAUGUUAGGCAAGUGUUCUCCUGACUUGUAUCCUCAUCCUCUUAUAACUUUUAUUUUGCAACAGGGUCUCUCUGUUGCUUGCCCAAGCUGGCCUCAAACUCAUUAUCCUUCAGCCUCUGCCUCCUCAGUCACUGGGAUUAUAUUUUGGUCCAUCACACUCUGCUUUUGAAACUGAAGCAAGAGUAUCCAGUUAUCAUGAAAUAGGUGCACACAGAUGAGAUGAGGCUCUGGGAGGGAAGCUGUUAGGAUAGAAUGCUAUUUGAUUGGGGCUCUUUGCCUUAAAAGACAGAACUGGGAGAGGUCUCUAUUUCCAGGCAGAUAUACAAACACAGCUUGAGUCCUUGUUUCCUUUCUGGGUGCCUCAUGUAUGAGCACACAGCAAUGCACUUGGCAAAGAGCUAAGAACAACUUGGUAUCAAUUUACUUUUCAGCAGAAGCCAAAGAUGUCUGCUAUUAUAGCUUUGAGGUUUUGUGAGUCCUUUUCACAUACAGUUUGGUAUCAUUGUUAAGUUUCCCGUAGUUAGAUGCAUUGGAAAAUCCCAAAGUGGCUGGGGGUUAGAAGUAGGAGUGAACACUCUGAGCCAGGAAAAACUGAGAGGCAAUGUGACUUGUGACUCGAUUUCUCCAGAGUGUGGGCACAGUCUCUUCCUCUCACCACAGGCUGCCUGCUUCAAUACUCCAUGCUGACCCUGUGGCUUGGAUUAGUCUCCUGUGCAUGUGAACAUGUUCAUAUAGUAUACUUUAAAUGAUUACAGUGGAAAAUGAAUAAUGUAGGGUCUAUACAGAAUGUGCUACAGUAUAAUUAUGGUAGCACAAGGUAAUCUGAUUUAAAAUGCUAAUUCAGUGCACUUCAGAUGUAGUUCUAAAGACCAUCAUCAUCUUUUGACCAUGUCAGCAAGUACUUGUGACUGAAGUCAAUUUCUUGUGGUCUUCACAUGGAGAGAAUGAGCAUAUGGGUCCCCACGUUCUCUAUAUUCAACACUUGAUGAGUUCAAUUGUCUGUCUUUAUUCCAUUUCCUGGAUCAAUGGUUAGAUCUAAUUUCAUCUAUUGUGUCUAAAAUUUAAUGCCUGAUGGAUCAGGAUGACAACUAGAGAUAAAGCUGUAGAGAUAAAAACUAGUCUAAUAGUCUAGAAUUAUAACUUUUUUUUUUUUUGGUUUUUAAGAGACAGGGUUUCUCUGUGUAGGCCUGGCUGUCCUGGAACUCACUCUGUAGACCAGGCUGGCCUCCAACUCAGAAAUCCACCUGUCUCUGCUUCCCAAGUGCUGGGUUUAAAGGUGUGUGCCACCACUGCCCGGCUAUAACUUAACUUUGAUUCUUGUUGCUGUUCAAGUACAGAAAUUUUUCUUGGAGAUGGGUUCUUAAUGUGUUGCUAGGUUUUCUUUGAACUCAAUCCUCUUUAAUUAAAAAAUAUGUAUAUGAAUGUUUUGCUUCCAUGUGUGUAUGAGCAACUGUGUCGAUGCCAUGGAGGUCAAAAGAGGGUCUAUGCCAGUGAUCAGAACCAAACCCUGGUCCUCUGGAGGAACAAACAGUGCUCUUAAUUUCUGAGCCAUGUCUCAGGCUCUUCACAACACUCUUGCUUCACUCUCUUAAGAAACUGGGAUUACAGGUCUGAAGGAGAGAAAAAAAAAUCUCAAAUAGAAUGUGAAGAAGACCAACAUGCAUUCUAGAAAUGAAGUCCAAAGAGCUGGGGAUCUAACUCAAGCCUUGAAUGUAUGAUGAGAAAUACAGAAGAGAUCACUGGCUCACACACAGAUUGAAUAGGCCACUGGAGAGAGUCACAGCUCUAUCACCUCCUGUGAAACAUGGGCAAGUUACUUUAUGCCUUUUAAAGGCUCUUUUGCAGUAUUUCCUCUCUUAAAGCAGAAUGUGAAGGCCUGAAACACCUAGCAUAAAACAGCACUAAAUGACUAACAAUUCCAUGAAUUCCAUGUUCUGAUGAGCCACCCAUACUAUAGUCCCUUGAUAGAUUCAGCCUAGUGGCACCAGGUGUUUGUGUUGUCUACUCUUGUGUUCACAUAACAAAAGUGUCUAACAAAGCAUUUCUCAAGAUAUAUGCCUGUUGUUACAAGACACACAACUGUUAGUAUAGUUAACCUAUAGGAAUCUUGUGUAUGGGCGUAGUAAUUGGGAGUCUUUCUUUUACUUAUGUUGGAGAUGUGUCUUAGUCUAACAAAUCCUGUAGAGAUUUGUUUUAUAUAGAUAGACCAUUCUCUUUGUCUUCUAGGGAUCCUGUUUUAAGAAUGCCUACUGGUUUUCUUUUGGUUAAUCAUGUUACUUUUAGAAGAUUUUAGAUAAGCUUUGGUUUAAGUAACUUGCCAGUGUCAAACAGUGGGCAUUUUAAAAAUUAUUUAUUUUUAAAUAAAGUUUAAAAUUAAUGUAGUCUAGUCAUAGAGAAUUUUAAUACUAUGUAAUCUACUGCUCAAGCCAAUGAUAAACCUUUCUAUGCAUUUACAAAGAUAAACACACACCUUAAAUUUGUUCACACCAUACACUUCUAUCAACUGUUUUGCUUUACCCAUUGUGAACAUUUUUCUAUGUCUGGUCACAAUAAAUGUACCUUUUUAAUGU